rnacentral:lncRNA from 10 species
CGUCCUUGGCCUCUGCAGCUCCAAAGCGCCCAGACGUUCGUUCCGGUGGCACUGAAGGGCUAAGCAGUGCUCACGGGCGGACCGAGGAGAAUGAAGGCCACGCGUGGGCCGCCCCUACCUAUGGCGCUCAGGAUCCAGUGGACGCAGCAGGAGUCUGCGCGGGCCGCGUGGGCGGUGCCUUCCUUGCAGAGGCUGCAGGGCUAGCGCAGCGAGUGCACCUGGGAGUCACGCUCUCGCUCAGACACAUGGCCCUGGACCCUUGGCUGUUUUCCUGCCGCAGCCUCCCGACUUCAGGCCGGUGUGCGCCCGCCCGGGGAAAAGGCAGGAGCGGGAGGCUCCUGCAUCUGCCAGCCCUGCGGAUCAGGCUGCCCUGGCCAUGGCGAGGAGACGCAAGGGCCCGGCUGGCUAGUUCACACUACCUUUCGGGGGCAGGUUGGUGGAGGCUGCCGGGAUAAGCCGGAGUCGAGCCAUCGGAGGGAGCCAUUUUGAGUUUCUGAGGAGCAGGGGGAGGGCGGCUGCUUCAAGAGCUUCCUAGGCCAGCAAAGACACACAAGGGCGUUUGCCCCUUAAUCCGGUUCCAGUUUCUGAGGGACAGGGGGAAGGCGGCUGCUUCAGGAGCUUCCUAGUUCAGCAAAGACACACAAGGGCGUUUACCCCUUAAUCUUAGGACAAUGUGCUCGCAAUACUUGCUGGUUCAAUGGAAGUGCCUUGUUCACCUGGUGACACGGAUUGUUGCUGAGACAUGUACAUGCCCCAAGUCAGGCCAAUCAAAGACAAAAAGACCUAGUUCUGAAACUUUGCUACGCCUACAAGUUAGAGUAACAUAUCUCUAGAGAUGUUUGAAUGCUCAGCUGCUACAGGACUGUGAUGCUAAGAUUAGGGCCUCAGUAGGGAAAUGACUUGGCCCCCUGAAACAUGGAUGGUGAUAUAUAGAUGGUUGCCCCUGAAGAAAAUUGGCUUUUCAAAUCACUAGAACCCUUAGACCUUGUAGAAGUGGCCCACCCUUGCUUAGUAAGAGAUGAUACUUCUCCUGUACUGGAAAUGCUGCAGAAGUGUUUCUUCCACAAUUGAACAUGUGCCACGGAGGAGUUUCACAGACCUACUCUUCUGGCUGUAAGAUCCAAAUCUACAGAUAAAUUUCAGGAAAACCUGACUAGGAGAAUGGACUUGAUAAAAGUGGGGGAGAAGAGUUGGAAGAAUCAGCAUCUACAGGCAAGAGCCAGAUACAUACUCUUGGAAUGAGAUUCUUCAGGAGCUUGACCAAGGGGGCCAAAACGUGAGCCUGAAUAAGCAAGAAUAAAUUGAUUUGGGAGCAUUUUCUUGGGACAUGAAAUAUAAUAGGCUAGAAAGGACCCCAAGGUAAGAAGUAAAUUUAUUGUCAGCAUAGCCCUUAGAAAGUGAUGGAUAAGGUUAAGUCAGAUGGAAAUGCCUGAAUCACUCUAGCAGACAGUAAAGAAAGGAUUACAGAGCUUGAAGAAGUGAGAUUAUAUUGUUUGAGACCAGAAGACCUACCAGUGAAUGAUGCUCCACCAGAGGGCCAAGGACACACUAUUCAAAGAACGGCAUCAUCAGGAAUGUACUGGUGAGAGGAUCACUGGAAUCACAGAUACUGAUUGGAGAUUCUCCUCUGCAUGUGAUGCUUUGCUUCCUCUCCUCCUGCCCUUGGAUAUCAGACUCCAGGUUCUUCGGCCUUUGGACUCUGGGACUUGCACCAGCAGCCUCCAAGGGACUCUCAGGCCUUUGGCCUCAGACUGAGGGUUGCACUGUCAGCUUCCCUGGUUUUGAGGCUUUCAGACUUGGACUGAGCUACACUACUAGCUUCUCUCUUUCCCCAGCUUGCCAACGGCCUAUCAUGAGACUUUGCCUUGUAAUUGUGUGAGCCAGUUCUCCCUAGAAAACUCUCUUACAUAUAUACGUACAUCUUAUUGGUUUUGUCUCUUUCAAGAACCCUGUGCCCAAACAACAGGGCCCAAACAAAGCUGUGCUCCAUCAUUCUGGGGUACUACUGCUGCUGCUGCUGAUGCACUUGGCCUUGCAGAGCCUAGGAUACUGUUGUGCCCGACCAUCCCAGGGGCUAGAGUCACUACUACAAGAUUCUUUAUCCUCCAGGACCCAAACUACCAGUGAGCCAUAAUGGUUCAGGUUCACAAAUUGCAUCCAUAGCCUUAUCCCUGGGCUCAAACCUGUAGAGCAUCCCUUCUUCCCCAGAGUUGGCCCAGCGCUGUGCCCUGUUUCCUAGGGAUAGAAUCACAGCCCCCUAGAAUCACCAUUUGAGCUGCUAAAGAAUGCCACAGCAUCACAUAUCCUGGCUCUGGAAACAACCUACAUCCAAUCCCGUCACAGAGAGCAAACCUGCAUCCCAAGACCCAGGUGCCACUAUAGGCUCAUGAGCCCAUGAGCCUAGGACCCUCAACCUACAGCCAUUCUGAGCAUCUGCACCUGAAACUCAGGACUGCAGCAGCUGUUUUUAGGCCAUGUCAAAACUGACACCAAGAAAGAUUCUCUUGGGUAAGUCUCCCUAUUGUGAGGAAAACAAGAAUAGGAGGACCCCAAAGAACAUUGGUACCAAGAACAUUAAUAACGUAUGCCCCUGACACUGCCACAGACUUUUACAGACUAGGUCACUGAGGCACCCACACUUACUGUUGAUGUCUAUUGCAGCUGAAAAAGCUACACGGAGAUUAUACCACUGCAUCUAUCCAGAAACAGAGUCACUACACCUUUUCCAAAUAACGUACUAUAACUCAAAUGCAAGUGAAAAUCUUUCUCCACCAAAGCCACGCUAGAAAGCUUGUAAGUGGUUAUUGUUCUACCAGACACACAGGCAUGAAUUCAGGGACACAAGAAACAUGAAGAAGCAGGGAAAUAAGAUACCACCAAAGGAACAUAAGAACUGUUUAGUAGCAAAUCCCAAUGCAAAGGAAAUCAAUGAAUUGCUGGAAAAGAAAUUCAAAGUAAUGAUCUUAAGAAAAUUAAAUAAGAUACAAGAAAAUAGAGAUAGACAAUUCAACAAAUUCAGGAAAACACUUCAUCAUAUGAACGAGAAAUUCAACAAAGAGUUAGAAAUUAUAAAAAAGAACAAAACAAAUCCUGCAACUGAAUAAUUCAAUGAAAGAACUAAGAAAUGCAAUCGAGAGCUUUAACAGUAUACUUGAUUAAACAGAGUAAAGAAUUACAGAACAUGAAAUAGGUCAUUUGAAAUUACCCAGUUAGAAAAAAUAUGGUAAUCAUCCUGAUUUGACCACAACAUAUUGUAUACAUGUAUUGAAUUCCCAUAAACCUAAACAAUUAUAUGUCAAUUAAAAAUAACAACAUUUUUAAAACCCACAAGACUGUAAACACCAAUGAAAAAAAGCACACAAUUAACAAUUAUUUUAAUUUGAUUUAUUAUUUUUAACUUUCGUUCCUGUUGAUUAUAUGCAUCCCUAUUUCUUCUUUGAUGAUUUUAAUGCAUACACUUUAAAUUUCUUUUAGAAAAUAAUCAUGUCUGGUACAUUUCCAAAGCAAUCAAAUUGCUUGAGUUUCAUAGAAGCAUGUUCAGCCUUCAAAUAGUGAUUAUGAUUUCACCCAACCCAUUCUGAUAUAAAUAACAAGUGUAAAAAGUAGAUUUUGUUUCCUAAGUUCUUUGAUGUCUCAUCAUCAGGACUCCUUCCUCUUGUGUUAAGCAACAUUGCCAGCCAAUCUUGACAGUUACUGUCACCAUUCAGUUUUCUUUAUAAGAAAUGAUCUGAGUAAGUGUGAGAUGCAGAUGAGAUAGACUAAUAAAUCCUAUGGGGCUCAGUUGAUUGUCUUAUAGAGAUGUCAUACUCCACUAGGUUCCACUUCCUUGGUAUUUAAAUUUUUCAUUAUAUUGGAACUAAAAAUAAUAAAAAGCUUAGAAAAAUAUUUGAAAUUUGCCAUCACUGUAACAUGAAAAUUUAAUUAGUUUUGCAUUUUGGCACCAAGAAGCAUGUCAUUUUCUUCUGUCUGAUUCAAAAAAUUCACAAAUGUAAGCAAAAAUGAAACUCCUAAUGUUAAUGAAACUUUUCUUCAGUUCUACACCAACCUAAGCUCAGAGUAGAGGUGAAUAGCUCCUAGGAAAUCUAUAAAACUUUAUCUUUUGGGAAGACU